AAGCAGAGAGACCCCAGCAGCAGCAGCAGCUGAUGAUGAAGAGAGAGGCAGUGGCAGAGGGGGGGCACCUUUUAUUUCUAUUUUUAAAGGGACAGGACACUAAUUUUACCCCACUUCAACCUUGAAUUGAGGGGGGUGGGGGGAAGGCGGCUGAGUUCCUUCCCCCACCCUCCAGCCCUGAGACCUGAGAGGGGGAUUGAGCCUGAGAGAGAAGGAGAAGGAGUUUCUUCUUCUUCAAAACCCCCAUCCACGACUCCUACCCCUUCACCCCUCCAGUAGCCUCCCUCCCGAGCCCCCUCCACCCUCCUCCUCUUUGGCCGUGAGAGGAGGAGAGAAAGAGACCAAAAGCCUCUUAGCAACACAGACCCUUCUCUGCUGCUGUUGCUGCUGUUGCUGCUGCUGCUGCUGCUGCUACUGCUGCUGCUGGCUUGGCCCUGGCUGGAGACAUCUCACUACACCCAGGAGCAGCCACUUCCCCAGCUCUCCUCCUCCUGCGCCUCCUCCUCCUCCUCCACUCCCCCCCUUUAUUACCCUUUGUGUCAUCCUCCACAGCUCCAGGGAAGGCACUCAAAAGUGGGGGGCAGGAAAGAUGCUUAUUGAGAAUAUCAGUUUCUGCGUGUGGGCAGUAGAUAUUGAAGGUUAUAUGGUUUACAGACAACAUCUUUAAAAGAUAGACACUCAAGGACCAAGGACAUAAACCACCAGAAGCCAACAGCACAGAAUACUUUCCUUCAUCAAGAAUUGUGAUACUUCUCUAAUUCCAUCAAAUAUAAAGGAAUGACCGCCUUGACAGAUGGCCACAGAGGAUGUCAACAAUUUUUUGGAGGCAAGCAAUGAAAUAUUGAUGCUUUGAGUUUUCUAUUAAGUAUGUAGAAAUAAGUAGAAUUAUGUUUUAAUGAAAAUGUUAAAAGUGUUCUUUAAUAUAGUAAUUUAUAUAAGUAUAGCUAAGCUAUUUCUCCCCUCCUGUUUUUUCCCCUGAGCAUUGUUGCAUGUCAAAAAUUACAUUGCGCUAAGCUGCUUUUGCCCUUAUGGUAUAGGGAUACAUUACAUUCCUAAAUGCAAAAUAAAAAUUUUAAUAACAGAAAUUAAGUUCCUAUGUUUGAAAACAGGGCUCUUCAUAUCUAUCUUGGACACACAUAGAACUACAAAUACUAAAUAGUUCAGGAAGUUAGAAUUAUUUUCUAUUUAUUUUAAAAUUAUCCAUACCGUUUAUGAAUUUUUGUUUCAAUUCAUGCAUUUUUCUUACUUAUUUUUAAAUAUUCUAAAGUGUUUCAAACCUCUUGAGAAGUCAUCCCUUUACAUUCCUCAUAGCUUUAUAUUUUGUGAGAAGUCUACAUCAAAAGAUCCAAUUGAAUUUUUAGUUACUUGCACAAGCUACUUACUUUUCCUGGGGGAGGGGGAAGGGACAGUCAACCAAGGAUUGUGGACCACAGUGUCAUUUUCAAAAUUGAAAUUAAUUACCUUACCCUUUAAAGGGAAAGUUUGCCUGGAGAUAAAUUGACUGUUUUAGAAAAUGAAUAAAUAAAUAAAUAUAAGGAAUCUGCAUUCUCCACCUUCAUGGAAAAAAAAAAAAAA